UACGUAGGGGGCAAGCGUUAUCCGGAUUUACUAGGUGUAAAGGGAGCGUAGACGGUGAUGCAAGUCAGAAGUGAAAGCCCGGGGCUCAACUCCGGGACUGCAUUUGGAACUGUGCUGCUAGAGUGUCGGAGAGGCAGGCGGAAUUCCUGGUGUAGCGGUGAAAUGCGUAGAUAUCAGGAGGAACACCGGUGGCGAAGGCGGCCUGCUGGACAGUAACUGACGUUGAGGCUCGAAAGCGUGGGGAGCAAACAGG
rnacentral:rRNA from 1 species